rnacentral:tRNA from 1 species
GCUGAUGUAGCUCAGUUGGCUAGAGCAGCUGAUUUGUAAUCAGCAGGUCGGGGGUUCGAGUCCCUUCAUCAGCU